CCCAUCAUGGGCAUCAUUUUGUUAGGCAAAUGAUAACCCUGACCCUGACCCUGACCCUGACCCAGACCAUGUCCAUAACCAUGACCAAACUCCUCCUCCUCAUCAUCAUCAUCAAAAUCAUCAUCAAACUCGUCAAAUUCGUCAUCAAAUUCAUCAUCAAAAUCAUCAUCAUCACUUGCAUCAAUAUAAUCAUCCUGCAAGUUGAACUUGACAGAUUUCUGGUCUUUAUGAGGUUGCAUCUUUAGAUCCUUAGAUCCUUUGAAUUGUUGCAUUUGGUGU
rnacentral:misc_RNA from 1 species